CCCUUUAUGAACCUAAAUCUCAGUCUUCAAUCUCCGCAACUCCAUCUCCACCGUCUUCCGCUAAUCAGCACCACCACCUAUCUCUGCAAAUCUAUCUUCACUGUCUAACUCUGAACUCAAAAGUCAAAAUUCUUCUGAAGAAAUUGUGCCCUAAAUUGAAGAAAUCAUCGCCACCGAUUGAAGAAACGAUCUGAUUUCUGAAGCAAAGAAAAUCCAAGGAUAAAUGGAGGAGUAUGAUGUAGCUGCAACUGGUGAGGGUUUUAGGCCGGAAAUUAAGGCACCAGCAGCAACCAUAGAAUCCAUCUUUCAAUCUCCUUCAUCCCCUAAAACUGCUGAGGAGGCAAAAAAUACAGUUAAGCUUAGGAUCUUACAGUAAACACGCCAGAUGGGAAGCCUCCACCUAGUAGGUGUUAACUAUUUCACAGAGAAAUCCAUGGGAGCAUGUACUGGGAGUGGGACUUGGAGCUCUAUUCGUAAAUCAGUUGGUCAAAUGGGAUGCUCAGCUUCAAGUUGAUCUUCACAAGAUGCUCGACGAAGCUAAGGCUGCAAAUGAACGUCGCUACUUUGAGAUGCUGAUAUUACAGUGGGAGAAGUUAUCAGUGGGAGAAGAUAAAGAGUUGAUGAAUAUCAUUCUUGCCUGUCAUGGAGAAAAUACAGGAGAUGAAAGGGAACCUGGUACAAAAUGUUGCUGUGUGGAAGACGUUGGAUUUGUUAAAUGACAAUGCUUUUAGCCAUUUAAUGGAGACAAGGAGGCGAGUCUUGAUUAAGCUUUUAAUUGAAUCUCCUGGUCCAAGGUCUCCCGGCACAAAAGUUUCCAGGUACAAAGGUCUCCAGAACAGAGGUCUCCAGGACAGAGGCUUCGGUCUCUGUGCCUGGUGGGCCGCUGCGCCCUGUCAGGCCGAUUGCCUGGUUGGCCGCUGCGUCCUGGCGGGCCGAUGUGCCUGGUGUGCCGUUGGCCGGGUUGGCCAAUGCGUCAGGUGGUUAGCUGGGAAAUAGAGCUGCAAUAUGUGAGCAGUUUUGUCCAGGACAGUGGACCUACUCGUGUGAGUUAAACAAGCAUCAGAGUGCAAUUUUGUACUUGGCUUCAUGGUUGUCUCCUGAAGAUUUCACUGCGAAGAUAUUGCCAACUUUAGUGAAACUAUCUGCCUCGAAUGACCGACUAUUAGAGUUGGCCUUCUGCAACAUAUCGAUCAGUAUGGAGAGUCAUUAUCUUCUCAAGUUGUAGAUGAACAAGUUUAUUCUCACGUUGCCACUGGGUUUUCUGAUACACCUGUUAUUCUUCGGGAACUGGCACUAAAGUCAAUUCUCAGCUUGGCACCCUAGCUGUCUCUGCGAACUAUUGCGGGAUCUUUGCUGAAGUAUCUUUUGAAGUUUCAAGUGGAUGAAGAAGCGGCUGUUAGGACAAACACAAUUCUGUUUGGGAACAUUGCCAGCUAUCUUAAUGAUGGGAUAAGGAGGUGGGUCUUGAUUAAGCUUUGAUUGAAUCUCCUGGUUGAAGGUCUCUCGGCACAAAGGCCUCCAGGUACAUAGGUCUCCAGAACAGAGGUCUCCAGGUACAAAGUUCUCCAGAACAGUGGUCUCCAGGACAGAGGCUUCAGUCUCUGUGCCCUGGCGGGCCGCUGCUCCCUGGCGGGCCGACGUGCCUGUUGGGCCGGGUUGGCCGAUGCAUCAGGUGGUUAGCUGCGAAAUAGAGCUGCAAUAUGUGAGCAAUUUUGUCCAGGACAGUGGACCUACUCGUGCGAGUUAAACAAGCACCAGAGUUCAAGGAUAAUGAAGGGCAAGUGCUAGUAGCCAGCCGGGGUAUUUCAGCCCCUGGUAAGUUCCUUUUUCCUUUUUUUUCUCCUAUAUUCUAUCUUUACAGUUUAAUUUGGAAAUUUGUGGAAAACAAAAAGUAACCUCUAUUUUACUUUGUGCGAGGGCAACAAAAGCAACAAUGAUCAAUUUCAAUUAAGGGCAAUCAAAACAAAUCAAGUAUAGAACCGCCAGUGAUGGAAGAAAUUCCUCAAAUGCAGAGAUAGACAUGACAAACAAGGGGAAUUAUAAGAGAAACAAGAAGAAGAGGGCAAAAUUAAUGAAAGAUAAGGCAAGGGGUUACUUGUUGUUGCAGACAUACAUGACCAGCAGCCUAAGUUCUGUAUUGUAUGAUUGUAUCGUUUGAUUGUAUUACACGAGGUGUCUGUGCUUUUCAAUGUGGUGAGCCAACAAUUCGAAGCCAAAUGUUUGAUUGGUUGUUGGUCACAUCUCUAGUCUCAUAUUUAUUAGUUGUGUUUGCAUACACUUAGGAGGUGUGAAAGUUCUCAUUCUUCUGCACAUGAUAACCGUCGCCAGAGAUCAAGGUCUCCUCGAGCUUGCAGUGGUCUUGUGACUCCAACUUCUACCAUUGUGGUGAAGGGCUUGCCAAAAGAGGCAACAGAGGAAAUGAUUUAUCGGAUCCUAGCAGAGUGGAGGCCCCUUCCCAAUAUCCGAGUGAUGCCGAAAAAGAAUACUACUUUCUGCUGUGGAAUCGCAUUCGUUGAUUUUCCGUCUGUGGUAGCGGCUCGGAAAUUGAUGGAUGAAAUUGGAGACCGCGGCCUCGAUGUCAAUGGGCGUAAGCUGUCUUUUGAUUACAGACUAGGUAAAUCAGAAUUGGCUAACGAAGUUCCGAUUGUAAAUGCUGGAAUCGGUGAAUCAGAAGUGGCCGGAGAAC